rnacentral:rRNA from 1 species
AACGAACGCUGGCGGUAUGCCUAACACAUGCAAGUCGAACGAAGGCUUCGGCAUUAGUGGCGCACGGGUGCGUAACGCGUGGGAAUCUGCCCUUUGGUUCGGGAUUACAGCUGGAAACGGCUGAUAAUACCGGGUGAUGACGACAGUCCAAAGAUUUAUCGCCAGGGGAUGAGCCCGCUUUGGAUUCGGUAGUUGGUGGGGUAAAGGCCUACCAAGCCGACGAUCCAUAGCUGGACUGAGGGGAUGAUCAGCCACACUGGGAAUGAGACACGGCACAGACUCCUGAGGAAGGAAGCAGUGGUGAAGAUUGGACAACGGGCGCAAGCCUGAUCCAGCAAUGUUGCGUGAGUGAUGAAGGCCCUAGGGAUGUAAAGCUCUUUUACCCGCGAAGAUAAGAACUGUACCGGAAGAAGAAGCCCAGGCAAACUCAGU